rnacentral:rRNA from 1 species
GGCCAGACUCCUACGGGAGGCAGCAGUGGGGAAUAUUGCACAAUGGGGGAACCCUGAUGCAGCGACGCCGCGUGGGCGAGGAAGUAUUUCGGUAUGUAAAGCCCUAUCGGCAGGGAAGAAGAAAUGACGGUACCUGAAGAAGAAGCCCCGGCUAACUACGUGCCAGCAGCCGCGGUAAUACGUAGGGGGCAAGCGUUAUCCGGAUUUACUGGGUGUAAAGGGGGCGCAGACGGCGAUGCAAGCCAGGAGUGAAAGCCCGGGGCUCAACCCCGGGACUGCAUUUGGAACUGUGCUGCUAGAGUGUCGGAGAGGCAGGCGGAAUUCCUAGUGUAGCGGUGAAAUGCGUAGAUAUUAGGAGGAACACCGGUGGCGAAGGCGGCCUGCUGGACUGCGACUGACGUUGAGGCCCGAAAGCGUGGGGAGCAAACAGGAUUAGAUACCCCAGUACAC